rnacentral:tRNA from 1 species
CCGCCCUUAGCCCAACUGGAUAGAGCAUCAGAUUCCGAUUCUGAAGGUUACAGGUUCGAACCCCGUAGGGCGGGCCA